rnacentral:rRNA from 1 species
UCGGGAAUUUUGGGCAAUGGGCGAAAGCCUGACCCAGCAACGCCGCGUGAGGGAUGAAGUAUUUCGGUAUGUAAACCUCGAAAGAAUGGGAAGAAUAAAUGACGGUACCAUUUAUAAGCUCCGGCUAACUACGUGCCAGCAGCCGCGGUAAUACGUAGGGAGCAAGCGUUGUUCGGAUUGACUGGGCGUAAAGGGCGCGUAGGCGGCGCGGUAAGUCACUUGUGAAAUCUCUGAGCUUAACUCAGAACGGCCAAGUGAUACUGCUGUGCGAGAGUGCGGAAGAGGCAACCGGAAUUCUUGGUGUAGCGGGGAAAUGCGUAGAUAUCAAGAGGAACACCUGAGGCGAAGGCGGGUUGCUGGGCCGACACUGACGCUGAUGCGCGAAAGCCAGAGGAGCAAACG